AACCAUUCUCACCUGCGGCUAGACCUGCGGAAGGAUCAUUACACAAUAACAUAUGAAGGCUGUACGCGGCUGCGCCCUCGGGCCAGUUGGCUGAGGCUGGAGUAUUUAUUACCCUUGUCUUUUGCGCACUUGUUGUUUCCUGGGCGGGUUCGCCCGCCACCAGGACCACAUGAUAAACCUUUUUUUAUGCAGUUGCAAUCAGCGUCAGUACAACAAAUGUAAAUCAUUUACAACUUUUAA
rnacentral:misc_RNA from 1 species